CGAGAGGGGGCAAGCGUUGUUCGGAAUUACUGGGCGUAAAGGGCGCGUAGGCGGCCUUCUAAGUCGAACGUGAAAUCCCCGGGCUCAACCCGGGAACUGCGUCCGAUACUGAAAGGCUUGAAUCCGGGAGAGGGAUGCGGAAUUCCAGGUGUAGCGGUGAAAUGCGUAGAUAUCUGGAGGAACACCGGUGGCGAAGGCGGCAUCCUGGACCGGCAUUGACGCUGAGGCGCGAAAGCCAGGGGAGCAAACGGGAUUAGAUACCCCGGUAGUCCUGGCCCUAAACGAUGAAUGCUUGGUGUGGCGGGUAUCGAUCCCUGCCGUGCCGAAGCUAACGCAUUAAGCAUUCCGCCUGGGGAGUACGGUCGCAAGGCUG
rnacentral:rRNA from 1 species